rnacentral:rRNA from 1 species
CCGGCAAACGGGUGCGGAACACGUACACAACCUUCCUUCAAAUGGGGAAUAGCCCAGGGAAACUUGGAUUAAUACCCCGUAAUAUUAUGAGGUGGCAUCACUUUAUAAUUAUAGCUCCGGCGUUUGGAGAUGGGUGUGCGGCUGAUUAGGUAGUUGGCGGGGUAACGGCCCACCAAGCCUUCGAUCAGUAACUGGUGUGAGAGCACGACCAGUCACACGGGCACUGAGACACGGGCCCG